AUUGAACGCUGGCGGCAGGCCUAACACAUGCAAGUCGAGCGGAUGAAGGGAGCUUGCUCCUGGAUUCAGCGGCGGACGGGUGAGUAAUGCCUAGGAAUCUGCCUGUUAGUGGGGGAUAACGUCCGGAAACGGGCGCUAAUACCGCAUACGUCCUGAGGGAGAAAGUGGGGGAUCUUCGGACCUCACGCUAUCAGAUGAGCCUAGGUCGGAUUAGCUAGUUGGUGGGGUAAAGGCCUACCAAGGCGACGAUCCGUAACUGGUCUGAGAGGAUGAUCAGUCACACUGGAACUGAGACACGGUCAAGACUCCUACGGGAGGAAGCAGUGGGAAUAUUGGACAAUGGGCGAAAGCCUGAUCCAGCCAUGCCGCGUGUGUGAAGAAGGUCUUCGGAUUGUAAAGCACUUUAAGUUGGGAGGAAGGGCAGUAAGUUAAUACCUUGCUGUUUUGACGUUACCAACAGAAUAAGCACCGGCUAACUUCGUG
rnacentral:rRNA from 1 species